CCACCUGUGGCCUAGUGGGCAAGGUUACAGUCUUGAGAACACUGAGUCGUAGGUUCAAGCCCAGCUAGGAAAG
rnacentral:tRNA from 1 species